rnacentral:rRNA from 1 species
CCUACGGGCGGCAGCAGUGGGGAAUAUUGGACAAUGGGGGGAACCCUGAUCCAGCGACGCCGCGUGAGUGAAGCAGUAUUUCGGUAUGUAAAGCUCUAUCAGCAGGGAAGAAAGAAAUGACGGUACAUGACUAAGAAGCCCCGGCUAACUACGUGCAAGCAGCCGCGGUAAUACGGAGGGGGCAAGCGUUAUCCGGAGUUACUGGGUGUAAAGGUAGCGUAGACGGCGAUGCAAGUCUGAAGUGAAAGGCGGUGGCCCAACCCCUGGACUGCUUUGGAAACUGUAUGGCUGGAGUGCAGGAGAGGUAAGUGGAAUGCCGAGUGUAGCGGUGAAAUGCGUAGAUAUUAGGAGGAACACCAGUGGCGAAGGCGGCUUACUGGACUGUAACUGACGUUGAGGCUCGAAAGCGUGGGGAACAAACAGGAUUAGAUACCCGAGUAGUC